rnacentral:rRNA from 1 species
GACGAACGCCGGCGGCGUGCUUAACACAUGCAAGUCGAACGGAAAGGCCCUGCUUUUGUGGGGUGCUCGAGUGGCGAACGGGUGAGUAACACGUGAGUAACCUGCCCUUGACUUUGGGAUAACUUCAGGAAACUGGGGCUAAUACCGGAUAGGAGCUCCUGCUGCAUGGUGGGGGUUGGAAAGUUUCGGCGGUUGGGGAUGGACUCGCGGCUUAUCAGCUUGUUGGUGGGGUAGUGGCUUACCAAGGCUUUGACGGGUAGCCAGCCUGAGAGGGUGACCGGCCACAUUGGGACUGAGAUACGGCCCAGACUCCUACGGGAGGCAGCAGUGGGGAAUAUUGCACAAUGGGCGGAAGCCUGAUGCAGCAACGCCGCGUGCGGGAUGACGGCCUUCGGGUUGUAAACCGCUUUCGCCUGUGACGAAGCGUGAGUGACGGUAAUGGGUAAAGAAGCACCGGCUAACUACGUG